CCUACGGGAGGCAGCAGUAAGGAAUAUUGGUCAAUGGACGCAAGUCUGAACCAGCUAUGCCGCGUGAAGGAUUAAGGUCCUCUGGAUUGUAAACUUCUUUUAUCUGGGACGAAAAAAGGUCUUUCUAGACCCCUUGACGGUACCAGAUGAAUAAGCACCGGCUAACUCCGUG
rnacentral:rRNA from 1 species